rnacentral:rRNA from 1 species
AUUGAACGCUGGCGGCAGGCCUAACACAUGCGAGUCGAACGGUAACAGGAAGAAGCUUGCUUCUUUGCUGACGAGUGGCGGACGGGUGAGUAAUGUCUGGGAAACUGCCUGAUGGAGGGGGAUAACUACUGGAAACGGUAGCUAAUACCGCAUAACGUCGCAAGACCAAAGAGGGGGACCUUCGGGCCUCUUGCCAUCGGAUGUGCCCAGAUGGGAUUAGCUAGUAGGUGGGGUAACGGCUCACCUAGGCGACGAUCCCUAGCUGGUCUGAGAGGAUGACCAGACACACUGGAACUGAGACACGGUCCAGACUCCUACGGGAGGCAGCAGUGGGGAAUAUUGCACAAUGGGCGCAAGCCUGAUGCAGCCAUGCCGCGUGUAUGAAGAAGGCCUUCGGGUUGUAAAGUACUUUCAGCGGGGAGGAAGGGAGUAAAGUUAAUACCUUUGCUCAUUGACGUUACCCGAAGAAGAAGCACCGGCUAACUCCGUG